rnacentral:rRNA from 1 species
GUGCCAGCCGCCGCGGUAAAACGUAGGUCACGAGCGUUAUCCGGAUUUACUGGGCGUAAAGCGCGUGCAGGCGGUCAGGUAAGUCGGGCGUGAAAUCUCUCGGCUCAACCGGGAGGGGUCGUCCGAAACUACCAGACUAGAGGGCAGUAGAGGGAGGUGGAAUUCCCGGUGUAGUGGUGAAAUGCGUAGAGAUCGGGAGGAACACCUGUGGCGAAGGCGGCCUCCUGGGCUGCCCCUGACGCUCAGACGCGAAAGCUAGGGGAGCGAACGGGAUUAGAAACCCCGGUAGUCCUAGCUGUAAACGAUGCAGACUGGGUGUUGGCAGCGUUAAACCUGCCAGUGCCGUAGCUAACGCGAUAAGUCUGCCGCCUGGGGACUACGGCCGCAAGGUUAAAACUCAAAUGAAUUGACGGGG